CUUUUUCCUUUAAAUUUAAUGCAAAAUGUUCUCUUUUGUCCUAAGUAUCGCAUCAAAAAUAAUAUCAUAUCUCCUAACAGUGUUUUAUCCAAUGUCAUUUCUCUCAUUGCAACUAUUGGCUAUAUCAUUUUGUUCAGAUUACGAAACUACAUAGUUCAAAACUACUACAUUGAUGGUUCUGGCGGUUUAACCGCCAACCUGUAUUUCGAUAUCUGCUUCUAUAUUAUUGGUUUUGUCAUGAAUUUCGUUGUUGGAGUCAGUCAAACCCACAAGAGUAUCAGGUUUGUCUUGACAUUUCAAAAAGUCCAUAGAUUCCUCAAAAAUGAUCCCCAUUUUGACAAUUUAAUCAUCUGGAAUUGGAUUGUCGUAAUAAUAGCAGCCACUUUCUACAAUUCUGCUUUUGUUUAUUUUACUUAUUACCUGGGUCUCCCUAUGUAUUUUAUAUAUGUGUCGGGCAUUCUGAGCGCCUUUGAUUUCAAUAUUGUUUAUGCUUAUCGUCUUAUGACUUGUUUGAGCCAUAAAUUAGAAGUAUGGAAUAUUAAACUGUUAAGUUCUGGAGAAACAAACCAUGACAUAUACAGCAAGAAUAUGUUUCGAGCCUACCUUGACAUACUAGAGUGUUAUGAUAUAGUCGAAGCCUGUUUUCAGCAUUAUGUAAGUAUGUUUGCUUGAAAAAGCAUUUAUUAGUUUUUUUUAUUUAUAAUUUUAGUUUUCUUUUGUUUUUCAGAUACUUUUCUAUAUAGGGGAAGUAUUUAUUCAUUAUCUGGUAUACACUCAAUCAUCACUCGAUGCAGUAAAAAUGGCUUGUCUGUCUGGAGAAAUUGAUCUGAUGAGCAUAGCAGGUAUGGCAAUAUUUUCUACGGCAGUCUGGUUAAUGAAAAAUUUGGCGUGGCAGAUCAUGUUGAGUCAGCAAUGUGAGAAAUUCUAUUCAACUGUGCAGUGCGCUCAAGAUAAUUGCAUAUUUGUGUUGAAUUCGAAUUGUUCAGAAUCCGUGCAUCGUCUCUGCAAAAACGUGCGUCGCG